GUUCAUUCUGUUUUUCUUGAUAUCAUGUGUGUAUGUUAACCAAGAGCUAGUGUUGGCCGACCUAGUAGUGUGUAUUUGGCAUAUUUUAAGCGAGGGGAGAGAAAUGCCCUCCUAAGGCACAGCAGAUCUGCCCCAAAGUGGUGGCCUCUUUCUAGGAAUAUGACAGGU
rfam:Cavia porcellus supercont2_14 genomic scaffold, whole genome shotgun sequence.